UGCUCUUACCAACGAAACCCUAAGCGCAAAAUCUUCAUCGUCUCCAUCCCCGUUCCCUUUCUUUCUCCUUUUCUUUCAAGUGCAUCAAAAUCUCACCAUUAGACUACGGAAAGUAGCUUUGUGCUUGUGUCAGCCAGAUCAACACGAAGAAGCCAUCCACGUUUUGCCUCUCAUCAGAUACUGUAUACAUAAACAGAGAAUGAAAUUUAAAGACAGCAAAAAUAAAUGAAGAUUUAGAAAUAAAUGGAGGCAAGAACAGCAUCAAAGGAAUGACGAUUUAGCCAGGUUUCCGAAGCAAAAUUUAUUUCUUUUAAUGCAAAUAGUGAUGUAAAUUUUUUAUUUCUUAUUUUCAUUGCAUAUAUGUAAAUAACUUAAGAAAGUAGUGAGAAAACAGGAAAAGAAAAA